rnacentral:misc_RNA from 1 species
AUGUUGAUAUGGUGACAGCGUCAAAAUGGCGGCUAAUGGGCCAUCGUUGCUGGAAUCAAAGAAAGACAAGAAGAAUCUAAUAAUCAAGGGUCAUGGCAAGGGAGGGGGAGGGGCAAAGCUUCUUCGCAGACCUAGGGCGUCUAAAUUACCUCCCCUUGAACCAGAACUACCACCUUCUCCUGACAAACCUUUUUAUGAAAUUUAUGACUUUGAGCAAGAGACAGAUUUCAGUCACAGGCAUCUUCAGUCCCCCACGCCGAGUGUGGUACCAAGUCUUGUAUCCCCUCCUCCUUCAGAAUCACACCCUGCUGGAGGAGCGUACUACAGAAACAAUUUUGGAAUAUCGCCACACAGUAAUGGAUCAUACCUCCAUAAAGAUGACAAGAAGUUUGUGCUUGACCCCAUUUACAGAGAAAAAACUAGUCUUGGUACUUAUGUAGAUGGUAAAUCUUUAGUAAAACCAUUUAAACCAAGAGGACCGGAGAGUUUUCCAACCAGACUUCCAAAAAGCCAGGCGAGAUUUUACAAAUGGAUAAUGUAGAAGAUAUAAGAUAUCAUCAGCCACCUGCCUUUACUUUAGACAAUUUUGUGUAUCAUCUCUCAGAACUCCGAAACAUACCUGUACGCAAAGUCAGGAAUAUAUUCUAUUCAAAGCACAACUAUAAAAAGUUAACAAAACUAUUGGCUGAGAGAUACAUUCAUCCCACUGUUCAAGAAGAAGUGAAGGUGAUGGAAAUGACUCCAGAAGCUCAGAACAUCCCUCCAUCUGAACCCAGAAUCCCGCAGAAGCAGCUUCUGAUUGAAAUGGCAGCCAUGAUUAAACAGCAUGUACGAGACCUGAUGAACACCGAGGUCAAGUCGGUUAUCCGACCCCUGAGGAAGUACAGCCCCUCCUACGCUGAUGAUAAUGUUCCCCACACGGAGAUCAUCUUGUACGAGGAUGACACGUUCGAUGUCGCCAGUCACUCGGCCCAAGAAAGACAGGAUACAGAAAUUCCAGGGAUGGAUUCAAUGUUUCACUCUGCCCCAUCUAGAUAUUUCCAGGGAGCUGGGCGAAGUCAAUCCCCUUUUACUGCACCCUCAGAAAAUGCUAUUUCUCCAUCUGAGUUGGCCAUUCUUGAUGCUCUGAUAAAUGGGGGGAAAGCUCUUAGUCUCAAGGCACACUUCAUCGCAGAAAUGCCUGACAUCUCACCUUUGAUAAGGACAGUCACAUACCUCAACCUGUCCUUCAAUGAUUUCUCCAUAUUCCCACGGGAAAUUCUGGAGAUUCAACAGCUUGAAAUCCUGAAACUUAGAAAUAAUCCUCUCCGAGAACUUCCCUCGGACAUCCACCGACUCCGGAACCUUCGGAUUCUAGUCGUGUCCUUCUGUCUUUUGACCAACAUUCCCAUGGGGUUGUUUGCCUUGCCGAAGCUGAUCCAUCUGGAUAUUUCUUACAAUAAGCUGACCUUCAUUCAAAACGAGAUUGCCAACAUGAGAAACUUGCGUGAGCUGAACAUGGAGGGGAACCAGCUGCCGGCCAUGCCGUGUGGAGCCCUGCUCCUGGACCUGUUCUACCUCAACGUCAAGAACAACUUCAUGCACCCGCUCUUUUGGAAGGAGCACACUCAGAACCAGCCACAGCGUUUAAUUGACAUGUGUGCCUUGACUUUGGUGGAAGGGGAAGUAAUUAAUGACAAGGAUGUCCUUCCAGAGUCUGUUAAAAAAGUCUUGGCAAAUCGGUCGGUGUGCGAUUGUUGCCAUGGUGCUCUGUUUGGCCCAGGUCUCCGAAUUAUUCGUCCCGUCAGUAAACUCCACGGCAUUAAAAACCUACCGUUCCUGUUUCGGGCAUGCUCACCAAGCUGUUUACAGGUCUUCAAACACAGUAAGGACACAUUGUCGGAGAUCCUAUAUGGAGUGAAGUCUACUCCUAGAGGCGAAGAGGAGGAGGAGGAAGAGGAGUAAAGGGAGAUCAUUCUUAAAGAUAAACGUCUCCAAAGGUAGACAACUCAAGUGGAUGCUGCUGCUUGAGAGACCUAAGGCGCUGUUAUAAUCGAGGUCGGAAGGAAAUAAAAAAUGAAAAAAAAGACAAGGAAUACCUAUAAGUUAAUUAUUGACUAUGCUGUCCUAGGGUGGAAAUAAAUUAAAACUUACAUAUUUCUUUUUGUGCAGUUUUGUGCAUUGCUGUUUGAAAUGAAUUGUUGAAUAUAUAGGCUGUUAUAUGUUACAAUAAUAAAAACAUCUAAGACAAUG